AUGAGCCGUUUAUUUUGAAAGUGGCCUAACUCCGUUUUUCAAUUUUUUCCAGUUAUCAUGGUUACAUGUACAACUUUAUGUUAUUUAUCAGUAAAGCAUUUCAGGUUGCUUAUAAUCCGAGCAAAUACGAUAAUUCUUGACACAUAAGUUUUCAGAGUUAAUUCAAUAAUCGAACCGUGUAGUUUGAAAGUGGCCUAACUCCAUUUAUACUUAAAUAAUCAAGAUAUAUUUACUAUUGAUAAUGUCGGAAAGUAGUGAUGAAGAAAUUAUUUCACCCAUGGGGAAGAACAGAACAAGACUAUUAUUUAGUUCAGAUAGUGAAGAAGAAAUAGGGAUGAAGAUAUGAAUAACAAUAGAGAAAAAAUUGAUGAAUCAUACAUCCAAAAAGUGCGAAAGAUUAAACGGAAUUCAGGAAAAAGAUAUUGUACUCAAACCGGAAAUAUUGUACCGGAAAAAAUUUUCGAAAACAAAGAUUGCCGUUGUCGGAAUGCAUGCACAAAAAAUUACGAUGAAAAAGAAAGAAAGAAUAUUUUUGAGAAGUUUUGGGGUUUGGGAAAUUUUAACAAACAAAAUGUAUUGCUUUACGAAGCUGUC